GGGGAGGCAGCAGUGGGGAAUAUUGCACAAUGGGGGAAACCCUGAUGCAGCCAUGCCGCGUGUGUGAAGAAGGCCUUCGGGUUGUAAAGCACUUUCAGUAGGGAGGAAGGUAGUGUAGUUAACACCUGCAUUAUUUGACGUUACCUACAGAAGAAGCACCGGCUAACUCCGUGCCAGCAGCCGCGGUAAUACGGAGGGUGCGAGCGUUAAUCGGAAUUACUGGGCGUAAAGCGCAUGCAGGCGGCCUGUUAAGUCAGAUGUGAAAGACCCGGGGCUUAACCUCGGAAUUGCAUUUGAAACUGGCAGGCUAGAGUCUUGUAGAGGGGGGUAGGAAUUUCAGGUGUAGCGGUGAAAUGCGUAGAGAUCUGAAGGAAUACCAGUGGCGAAGGCGGCCCCCUGGACAAAGACUGACGCUCAGAUGCGAAAGCGUGGGGAGCAAACAGGAUUAGAUACCCUGGUAG
rnacentral:rRNA from 1 species